rnacentral:tRNA from 1 species
GCCCUUUUGGUGGAAUUUGGUAGACACUCUGGAUUUAGGCUCCAGUACGAAAUAAUAGUAGUGUAAGAGUUCGAGUCUCUUAGAGGGCAC